rnacentral:tRNA from 3 species
GUACCCGUAGCUCAGUUGGAUAGAGUAUCGGCCUCCGACGCCGAGGGUCGUGGGUUCGAAUCCCUCCGGGUACGCCA